CUAAUACUCCCUCCGUUCGGAAUUACUUGUCACAAAAAUGAAUGUAUUUACAACUAAAAUACAUCUAGAUACAUUCAUUUCUUGAACGAGUAAUUCUGAACGGAGGGAAUAGAUG
rnacentral:pre_miRNA from 1 species